rnacentral:rRNA from 1 species
AUUGAACGCUGGCGGCAGGCCUAACACAUGCAAGUCGAGCGGUAGAGAGGUGCUUGCAUCUCUUGAGAGCGGCGGACGGGUGAGUAAUGCCUAGGAAUCUGCCUAGUGGUGGGGGAUAACGUUCGGAAACGGACGCUAAUACCGCAUACGUCCUACGGGAGAAAGCGGGGGAUCUUCGGACCUCGCGCCAUUAGAUGAGCCUAGGUCGGAUUAGCUAGUUGGUGAGGUAAUGGCUCACCAAGGCGACGAUCCGUAACUGGUCUGAGAGGAUGAUCAGUCACACUGGAACUGAGACACGGUCCAGACUCCUACGGGAGGCAGCAGUGGGGAAUAUUGGACAAUAGGGCGAAAGCCUGAUCCAGCCAUGCCGCGUGUGUGAAGAAGGUCUUCGGAUUGUAAAGCACUUUAAGUUGGGAGGAAGGGCAGUAAGUUAAUACCUUGCUGUUUUGACGUUACAACAGAAUAAG